rnacentral:misc_RNA from 1 species
AAUUCCCAGAGGCAAUAGUUUUCAUUUUGACCAGUAUGGUAUGAUACAAUAUAAUGAAUUUUAAGUGGUUAGAUAUCUCCAGUGGGAAGGAUUGGAUUGCUAUAUCCCAUAAGGAUGCAAGUGAGCAGAAUUGAUAUUGUUGUGAUUUGAAAAAACGAGUCGUGGGGUAGGGUGUCAAGUAUGUGCAUGAUAUGAUGAAAAAUUGAUGGCAAAA